rnacentral:rRNA from 1 species
GAUUGCUAAUACCGGAUACGCUGAUUUAUCAGGAAAGGUGGCCUCUUCAUGAAAGCUACUGUAUUAGGAGGAGCUUGCGUACCAUUAGCUAGUUGGUGGGGUAAUGGCCUACCAAGGCGACGAUGGUUAGCGGGUCUGAGAGGAUGAUCCGCCACACUGGAACUGAAACACGGACCAGACUCCUACGGGAGGCAGCAGUGAGGAAUAUUGCGCAAUGGGGGAAACCCUGACGCAGCGACGCCGCGUGGAUGAUGAAGGCUUUCGGGUCGUAAAAUCCUGUCAGAUGGGAAGAAAUGCUAUGAGGCUAAUACCUUUGUAGUUUGACGGUACCAUCAAAGGAAGCACCGGCUAACUCCGUGCCAGCAGCCGCGGUAAUACGGAGGGUGCAAGCGUUGUUCGGAAUUACUGGGCGUAAAGCGCGCGUAGGCGGCUUUUUAAGUCAGAUGUGAAAGUCCACGGCUCAACCGUGGAAGUGCAUUUGAUACUGGAAGGCUUGAGUACUGGAGGGGAUGGUGGAAUUCCCGGUGUAGAGGUGAAAUUCGUAGAUAUCGGGAGGAAUACCGGUGGCGAAGGCGACCAUCUGG